AAAAGUCAAUUUUUGCUGAGAGCGAGAGCAAUCUCUCUCUCGUUUGAUCUCUCUCGUAGUCUUCGGUAUUCUUGGGAACUCCAAGUAUUUGGAGAGGCAUGCGAAAGAAAGAGAUAGCAAGUUCAAUAGUGCGCAGUUAUCUUAAAUUUUCGGUAAAAUGUACCAUGCCAUGCUCGGUGCGUACAUUUUAGCAAUUGAGUCGAGAACGUCGAGAGAGCAACAGUGAAAAGUUUCAACAGUGAACGUGAAAGUGAAAAUGUGUAAAACUCCGGAUAGGUUGCUAAACCUGCUGAAAGAGUUUCAACUUGAAAAAGUGCACGACUAUCUAAUCGAUUGAAAUUGACUUUCAAAUGCUCUAUCCUGGCAAAGGUCAUUUGCUUUUGUCGAAGUGGGAAGAAUUCAAAGUCAAAAUUUUGACUCAUUACUCAACCCACCUUCGUAACGACAUUUGUUAACAAGAACUGGCAGUAGCAAAGUCGUCUACAAAUAAAGAUCUCCAAGACUUCCUUGUAUCGAUAUUAUUAAAAA